AUAAGAAUUUGGAAAAAUUGAAACGGAGAAAAUAAAAGUUUGAAAAUCAUUAAUGUUUUUCGCAUUUAUUUGGAUUUAGAAUAAUUAAGAUUUUAUUGGGAUUAUAGGUAUAUGCAUUUCAUCACACCGAGUCAGUCUAUCGGCAUUUACGCUUUUUGCUAGACAUUAUAAACUGAUUCGCGUAGCUACUUAUAGUCAACAUUCAAGCGAUGGAAACCACGAAUAGGACAGAGAUGGAGUGAUCCUCCCGGUCCCCCGCGUCCCUCGUCCAUACGAUUACCCGAUCACAGCGACUCUAUGCAGCUAUUCGGAAUGGCAUCGCUAAGCGACCCGCCCCCACCACCAGAGUUUCAAGACCUGUAUGUGAGUAAGACCGUGGCUAGCCUCGUUUCUUUUCAUAAACGCGAUAAAGUCUAGCCGCGCAAACUCAUUUCGUCGUGACGCCCGGAGAAGCGACACGUAUCUACGUAAAAGUGCGUAGAUUGAAAAUUCCAAUAAAAUGCCAGUCGAAUUCCGAGGAAUGGCUGCCGCGAGGAUGGCACGAUGGUAAAAGGGCUAGAAAUUUGCACCAUUGUCCUGCACUGCCGAGAGGACCCGCUAACGCUCGACUAUGGAAAUACGUUAUGAGAGUCUUUAGCUGUAUACAAUCAAUUUCUAUUCGGCGACAAUCAAUUUCAAACUCACGAUUCAGUCAUCUGGGCAGCCAUCCAGUCAAUUCUGAAGAGAAUGCAGAUCUGGAGAGAGCCAGAGAGAGGAAGAAGAAGAGAGGAGAGAGAAUUCUUGUAUAACGGACUAGUAAUUUCAAAUUUUCAACGCUCAGAAUUACUACGUGAAACCUGUCGCUUUCCAAUCCUCGCUACGUUCAUAUCGUUACAGACGAUAUUCGGUCUUUCGACUGACUUCAGGUUGAACUUGUUCCCUUCGAUCCAGCAAUGUAACAAGUAUAUCGGUUAAUUGAAUGUGGAGAAAUCGAAAGUUCGUACCGAGAAGAAAGCCUUCAUUAAAAGAGUCGUAUCUUUGCCAGGUUUCUUGAAAGAGAGAAAAGCCAAGCUAGACGGUAGAUUUUCGUUUCAGAGACUUAAGGGAACUGCUGCUUUUUAUGCCUCGCUUGUUCGACCUUAAUCCCGUACGGUUCGACAGGGGGCAGCCUAGUAAGGCCAGUAUUGCCAGUAGGGAUAGAAUGUACCGCCGUGGCAUCACGGAUGGGGUCUAGGGGAGUUAAGAUGGGGUAGUUGGGUUGUCUUGAAUUUUUUCCUUCGCCAAGCGGCAGCGGAUGAUUCGUCUCGUAAGCAUUUUUCGCGGAAGUCACGUCGCCCUCGUAUUUAUCUAAGACCGUCUGAACUUUUCCUCCCUGGCGCAUUUUUACUUUGUGCUGCCUUUUAUUCCUUUCCUCCCUUCGUCGCAUUCCCUUCGUCAAGGUCUGUCGAUUUUUCUUUCUAACUCUCAAAUAAACCGUCUUGCAAGAAAUUAAGGGCGUCACGCAUACAAAUGCAUGGGGGUUGUUUCAGGUCAAUAGGUCAGAGUAAAGAUCGUGUAUUAAACGCGAGAGGGUCCAUCGGAUUCGAAAAGGGUGGUUUGACCCUCUGAGCCUUGACUUGAUUAUUGAUGGAAUCUCAGGUCACCGGAGAAGCCGUUAUCUUUUUAGCAGCGUCGCGACGCACGUCGUCUCCCUUAUUCAUCACGUGGGCAAGUAGGAAAGUCCUUCGGUUUAACCUGAUUCGUUAACUACGAGGGUUUUUUGGUCGGGUGGAAAAAAGGUUGUGGACCCUUACUCUGAGCUAUGAAAUUACACUUUUUUUUUAUUAAAUUUUCAAAGUCCGCCCUUGGACAUUUAUUAAUCUUUUUAAUAAAUCCCUCUUGGUGUCGUUUUUUAUUUUUUCUUUUUUCUUUUUUUCAUUAUUUUUUUUUAUCGAUUAACACCGAUUUUACUGGCUGCGAUGAAAAAAUUUAUAUUUAACCCGUCGACAAAUAAACGAAAACAGUAUAUCGGCAACGUGAUAGUUUUUUAAAGUUUGAUUAUAAUCAAUGAACUUGAAUAAAUAUCGAAUAUCAAUCGCUGUCGGAAUGCAAACGAACGUGGAUAACAGUAAUAUGAUUCCUGACCAAAGAGAUUUCCGUUGUACGUUUUGAAUUAACGUUGCCAACUGUGUCCUUGGAGAAAAUGCCGCGAGCGAAAUUGCUUCGCAGGAUAAUUCGACCGGAGCUGAAGGGGUGACUCUAGGCAGGACUCUAGGUGACUACUGUGAAAACGAUAAGGGCGAGUUCUCCGAGACAGGGAAAGGGACGAAUAUGAAAAUGAAGCCAAGUUUAUUUCCAUGAAAAUAAUUUGAGACCCCUCAAGUCCAUUCCGUUAACUCGUUUCAAAAUAGCACGUUGCCACUACUGCCUUAACGGUUAAACGAAACGUUAAACAGUUUAAAAAAUGUCUAUUAAUAAUGAAAAUAAAAAGAUGCUAAAUGAAAUAUAAUAAUGAAAAUUAAAAAGAAACUAAAUUAUAGUUGAAAUGACAUAAGAAAUAUUUUACAUAGUAAAAAGUUAUACGUUCCUUUUACAUGGCAAGGGAUUGUUUAAACAAUUAAAAACUUUG